rnacentral:rRNA from 1 species
AGUGAACGCUGGCGGUAGGCCUAACACAUGCAAGUCGAACGGCAGCACAGUAAGAGCUUGCUCUUACGGGUGGCGAGUGGCGGGCGGGUGAGGAAUACAUCGGAAUCUACUUUUUCGUGGGGGAUAACGUAGGGAAACUUACGCUAAUACCUCAUACGACCUACGGGUGAAAGCAGGGGAUCUUCGGACCUUGCGCGAUUGAAUGAGCCGAUGUCGGAUUAGCUAGUUGGCGGGGUAAAGGCCCACCAAGGCGACGAUCCGUAGCUGGUCUGAGAGGAUGAUCAGCCACACUGGAACUGAGACACGGUCCAGACUCCUACGGGAGGCAGCAGUGGGGAAUAUUGGACAAUGGGCGCAAGCCUGAUCCAGCCAUACCGCGUGGGUGAAGAAGGCCUUCGGGUUGUAAAGCCCUUUUGUUGGGAAAGAAAAGCAGCAGGUUAAUACCCCGCUGUUCUGACGGUACCCAAAGAAUAAGCACCGGCUAACUUCGUG